AGAAAAGUAAGCUAAAUAAGCUAAUGGGUUCAUACCCCAUUUAUAGAGCCACCCCUCUCUCUUCUA
rnacentral:tRNA from 2 species